rnacentral:rRNA from 1 species
GAUGAACGCUGGCGGCGUGCCUAAUACAUGCAAGUCGAGCGAACAGACGAGGAGCUUGCUCCUCUGACGUUAGCGGCGGACGGGUGAGUAACACGUGGAUAACCUACCUAUAAGACUGGGAUAACUUCGGGAAACCGGAGCUAAUACCGGAUCAUAUAUUGAACCGCAUGGUUCAAUAGUGAAAGACGGUUUUGCUGUCACUUAUAGAUGGAUCCGCGCCGCAAUAGCUAGUUGGUAAGGUAACGGCUUACCAAGGCAACGAUGCGUAGCCGACCUGAGAGGGUGAUCGGCCACACUGGAACUGAGACACGGUCCAGACUCCUACGGGAGGCAGCAGUAGGGAAUCUUCCGCAAUGGGCGAAAGCCUGACGCAGCAACGCCGCGUGAGUGAUGAAGGUCUUCGGAUCGUAAAGCUCUGUUAUUAGGGAAGAACAAAUGUGUAAGUAACUAUGCACGUCUUGACGGUACCUAAUCAGAAAGCCACGGCUAACUACGUG